ACCUACGGGGGGCAGCAGUGAGGAAUAUUGGUCAAUGGGCGGGAGCCUGAACCAGCCAAGCCGCGUGAGGGAAGAAGGUACAGCGUAUCGUAAACCUCUUUUGUCAGGGAACAAAGGCGGGGACUAGUCCCCGGAUGAGGGUACCUGAAGAAAAAGCAUCGGCUAACUCCGUGCCAGCAGCCGCGGUAAUACGGAGGAUGCGAGCGUUAUCCGGAUUUAUUGGGUUUAAAGGGAGCGCAGGCGGCCUGUUAAGUCAGCGGUAAAAGCCCGGGGCUCAACCACGGCGAGCAGUUGAAAUUGGCGGG
rnacentral:rRNA from 1 species